rnacentral:rRNA from 1 species
GGGUUGUGAGGUUAAGCGACUAAGCGUACACGGUGGAUGCCCUGGCAGUCAGAGGCGAUGAAGGGCGUGCUAAUCUGCGAUAAGCGCCGGUAAGGUGAUAUGAACCGUUAUAACCGGCGAUACCCGAAUGGGGAAACCCAGUGUGACUCGUCACACUAUCAUUAACUGAAUCCAUAGGUUAAUGAGGCGAACCGGGGGAACUGAAACAUCUAAGUACCCCGAGGAAAAGAAAUCAACCGAGAUUCCCCCAGUAGCGGCGAGCGAACGGGGAGGAGCCCAGAGCCUGAAUCAGCAUGUGUGUUAGUGGAAGCGUCUGGAAAGGCGCGCGAUACAGGGUGACAGCCCCGUACACAAAAGCGCAUGUGCUGUGAGCUCGAUGAGUAGGGCGGGACACGUGGUAUCCUGUCUGAAUAUGGGGGGACCAUCCUCCAAGGCUAAAUACUCCUGACUGACCGAUAGUGAACCAGUACCGUGAGGGAAAGGCGAAAAGAACCCCGGCGAGGGGAGUGAAAAAGAACCUGAAACCGUGUACGUACAAGCAGUGGGAGCACCCUUCGGGGUGUGACUGCGUACCUUUUGUAUAAUGGGUCAGCGACUUAUAUUCUGUAGCAAGGUUAACCGAAUAGGGGAGCCGGAGGGAAACCGAGUCUUAAUUGGGCGUUAAGUUGCAGGGUAUAGACCCGAAACCCGGUGAUCUAGCCAUGGGCAGGUUGAAGGUUGGGUAACACUAACUGGAGGACCGAACCGACUAAUGUUGAAAAAUUAGCGGAUGACCUGUGGCUGGGGGUGAAAGGCCAAUCAAACCGGGAGAUAGCUGGUUCUCCCCGAAAGCUAUUUAGGUAGCGCCUCGUGAACUCAUCUCCGGGGGUAGAGCACUGUUUCGGCUAGGGGGCCAUCCCGGCUUACCAACCCG